rnacentral:rRNA from 1 species
GUAUUUUUGGGGUAUUAUUGUUGUUAUUAGAAAAUUUAUUUUUAGUAGUUCGAGCGAAAAGUGUUGGUUUCCUAUAGAGGAUUGUAGUACUGAGAAGGAAGGUUUAGUUAUUUGUUUAGAAUAUUAGGUUGAUUAGUACCUUUUGUAUUAGGGUUAAUUUAUGUGCUUUUGCUUUAGUUAUAUCUCGAUGAGUAUCGGGCUAUUUUUCCUUGGUGUAUUCUCGUUGUAUAGAGUUGAAUAGGGGAUUAUAGGUAUGAAAUAUUAUUCAAGUUUCUUUUUAUCUAGUUCUUUAAGAAAUUUAAUAGUCGAUAGUGUUAUUAUGACGAUAGACAGGGAUUAGCUUGUUUAUUUUUUAUAUUUGAUUUUGGUUGAAGUUUGUUUGUUAAGUUGAUAGUGCUUGUUUGAAUGGAGUUAUUAUUGAGCAGGUUAUUUAUAUUAUUUUUUGUUUUUGUUUUUAUAUUAAGGUUAUGUUAUGAAUUUUUAAUGGUUUGUAAUAAUGAUUAUAUUAGUAAUAUUUUUAUUGGGGUGUUAUUUGGUUUGAUUCUAGUCUUUUUAUUAGAUGGGUGGUAUUUUAAAUUAGGGUUGAUGAAUUAGGCAACAGGAACCUCUGACUGUUUAGCAAAGACAUUGUUUUUUGUUGUGGUAAAAAAUAAGUUCUGUCCACUGCUAUUAGGUGAAGGGCUGCAGUAUUUUGACUGUAUGAAGGUAGCAUAAUCAUUAGCUUCUUAAUUAGAAGCUGGUAUGAAGGUGAAACAGGGGUUUGCUGUAUUUUUUCUAUUUGUUGAAUUUAAUUUUCAUGUGAAAAAUCGUGAUUGGGUUAAUGGGACAAGAAGACCCUAAUAAGUUUUAUUUUAUUAUUUAAUGCGUGUAUAGGUUUAUUAUUUAUGCAAUUUAUUUGAGUGAGUUUGGCUGGGGCGGCAGUUUAUUUUACAUAGAUUAAUUUUUAACUUUUUGUGGCGGUAUAUUGGACCUAGUUUGUUUAGAUUAGUGUGAAACUACUGUAGGGAUAACAGCGUGAUUUUUUUUGAGAGUUCUAAUUGACAAUAAAGUUUGCGACCUCGAUGUUGGAUUAAGAAGAGCGUUGGCGAAGUAGUUGAUG